rnacentral:tRNA from 1 species
GGAGAGGUGGCCGAGUGGUCGAAGGCGCACGUCUGGAAAGCGUGUAGGGCGAAAGCUCUCGCAGGUUCGAAUCCUGUCCUCUCCG